GCACGAGUGGCCAAGUGGCUAAGGCGUCGCACUUGUAUCUACCCCACAAGGGGAUCGAUCGCUAUGCGAAGAUCGGGGGUUCAAUUCCCCUCUUGUGCA
rnacentral:tRNA from 1 species